AAUACAUGCAAGUCGAGCGGACAGAAGGGAGCUUGCUCCCGGACGUUAGCGGCGGACGGGUGAGUAACACGUAGGUAACCUGCCCCUUAGACUGGGAUAACUCCGGGAAACCGGAGCUAAUACGGGAUAAUAAAGAGAAUCACCUGAUUCUCUUUUGAAAGACGGUUUCGGCUGUCACUAAGGGAUGGGCCUGCGGCGCAUUAGCUAGUUGGUAAGGUAACGGCUUACCAAGGCGACGAUGCGUAGCCGACCUGAGAGGGUGAUCGGCCACACUGGGACUGAGACACGGCCCAGACUCCUACGGGAGGCAGCAGUAGGGAAUCUUCCGCAGUGGACGAAAGUCUGACGGAGCAACGCCGCGUGAGUGAGGAAGGCCUUCGGGUCGUAAAGCUCUGUUGUGAGGGAAGAACAAGUACCGGGGUAACUACCGGUACCUUGACGGUACCUCACCAGAAAGCCACGGCUAACUACGUGCCAGCAGCCGCGGUAAUACGUAGGUGGCAAGCGUUGUCCGGAAUUAUUGGGCGUAAAGCGCGCGCAGGCGGCUUCUUAAGUCUGAUGUGAAAUCUCGGGGCUCAACCCCGAGCGGCCAUCGGAAACUGGGAAGCUUGAGUGCAGAAGAGGAGAGUGGAAUUCCACGUGUAGCGGUGAAAUGCGUAGAUAUGUGGAGGAACACCAGUGGCGAAGGCGACUCUCUGGUCUGUAACUGACGCUGAGGCGCGAAA
rnacentral:rRNA from 1 species